rfam:Ornithorhynchus anatinus chromosome 5, whole genome shotgun sequence.
GUUCUCUCAGGAUUGCACUUGGAGAAUUUCCAGGACUCUGCCAGUUUCGACUACGGGAGGGAGAGUCAAGCAGAGGUACAUCCAUUCCAUUCCUAGCUUGGCCAGUGGCUAGCGAGUGGAAGGCAAUCUGUUAUGGCA